rnacentral:rRNA from 1 species
UGCAGUCGAGCGGACAGAUGGGAGCUUGCUCCCUGAUGUUAGCGGCGGACGGGUGAGUAACACGUGGGUAACCUGCCUGUAAGACUGGGAUAACUCCGGGAAACCGGGGCUAAUACCGGAUGCUUGAUUGAACCGCAUGGUUCAAUUAUAAAAGGUGGCUUUUAGCUACCACUUACAGAUGGACCCGCGGCGCAUUAGCUAGUUGGUGAGGUAACGGCUCACCAAGGCAACGAUGCGUAGCCAACCUGAGAGGGUGAUCGGCCACACUGGGACUGAAACACGGCCCAAACUCCUACGGGAGGCAGCAGUAGGGAAUCUUCCGCAAUGGACGAAAGUCUGACGGAGCAACGCCGCGUGAGUGAUGAAGGUUUUCGGAUCGUAAAACUCUGUUGUUAGGGAAGAACAAGUACCGUUCGAAUAGGGCGGUACCUUGACGGUACCUAACCAGAAAGCCACGGCUAACUACGUGCCAGCAGCCGCGGUAAUACGUAGGUGGCAAGCGUUGUCCGGAAUUAUUGGGCGUAAAGCGCGCGCAGGCGGUUUCUUAAGUCUGAUGUGAAAGCCCCCGGCUCAACCGGGGAGGGUCAUUGGAAACUGGGGAACUUGAGUGCAAAAAAGGAGAGUGGAAUUCCACGUGUAGCGGUGAAAUGCGUAAAGAUGUGGAGGAACACCAGUGGCGAAGG